GAAAAGUGAUGUGAUGGGGAAUAAGGAACCUGGUGGAAUCUACCCUCUGAUAUAUUAGCUUCCUUCAGACCAAAUCUACAAGGGGUUAUACCUUCGCAAAGAACGAAAAGGAAAUCGGGGUUGCUGUGCUGUUGUGCUGGAAGCUUUUACCUUUUAUUCUUCUUCCUGAGUGUUCAGUUGAACCUUAGGGGGAAGCUCAUCUGGGGAGGUGUUGUCGGUGCUAUUGGCUUAUGCUGGAGACAGCCCCAGGUGACACCUGCUGGGGACAGCCCUAGAUGACAGCUGCUGGGGACAGCCCUGGGUGACAGCUGCUAGUGUGGCUCUGGCUUUCCUGCUGUGCCUCUUUUCUGGUUCGUGUCCCAGGCCAGUCUCAGACUCUGCAACAGGACCGCGACCCCAGGGCCGGGUUUAGACCUAGGAUAUGAGGCAGGUGACAAGAGUGACUGUGCUCUUGCUCUUGGGUACUUUGAGCCUCGCUAAGACCACCCAGCCCGUAUUCAUCGAGUCCUACGAAGGACAAGAAGUGAAUAUACCCUGUAACCACACCAAGAUCGCUACAAAUGAGUAUAUCCACUGGUACCGACAGUUCCCCAACCAGGGACCUCAAUUUGUUAUUCAAGGAUAUAAGACAAACGUGGAAAAUGAAGUGGCAUCCCUGUUCAUCUCUGCGGACAGGACGUCCAGCACCCUGAACCUGCCCCGGGCUGCCCUGAGAGACACUGCUGUGUAUUACUGCACCGUGAGUGACUCACAGUGA